rnacentral:lncRNA from 1 species
UCAGAGCUGCAAGCAAAGAAUGGAAAUUUCCAAUUGCAGCAUCAAGAGCUGCUGUUCUGCUGACUGUCUUGCUCAGCUGGGGUCAUCUGCUUCUCUAAGACAUCAAGGAAUGCCAAGAUCCUUAGAUGCUGAAAGGAAUCUGCAAAGUGCUGCCCACAGGACUGGAAAUCGGUCAAGACAGGGCUCAUUCCCAGCUCUACCUAGGCGAGUUGGGGAGAUACUUGUUGCUGUCUACGUGUGAUGUUGAAAGAAAUGAGGAAAAUGAACUGCCUUAAUUAUUACCUGCAACCGCUGACCUGAGAAUCUGACGAGAAUUGUAAUAUAGGAUCACAGAAAUGAAGGUAAUCUCUGAAAUAGGAAUCUACCUUUUAAGCUUAGGUGGGUGAGCCCCAAAUUGUAAUAAAGAGUAAGUAUUUAAGAAACUUUCCCAUAAGCAAUUUUUCCCUACUAUUACCUAAUUUCUACCUUACGUAAUUGUAUGGACAAUUUUUCUUGUACUCUAAAAUGGAGAUGUGAAAAAAAGCUUUUUGCCAUAGCUAAUGUUUGGAACCAUUCCUGUAUGACAUGGAUUAUAUUUCUAGACUAAGUUGCGACAGUACAGAGUAAUGGGUAAGAAUCCAGGCUUAGAGACAGACAGAUUUGUGCUUAUGCCACAGCUGUAUGAUCAUGGGCAGUUUACAUAAGCUCUCUAAGCCUCAAUUUCCUCACCCAUAAUAUGUGGAUGAUACUAUCAUCCAGCUGAUCACAUUAUUGUGAGGAAUUGUCUAGAACAGCGCUGUCCACUGAAAUACAAUGCAAACCACAAAUGUGCACCACAUAUGUAAUUUAACAUUUUUAAAACGCCCCAUUAAAAAAAGUAAAAAGAAACAGGUGAAAUUAAUUUUA